GAGUGGGGGACGGGAUGUUUCCCAAAGAAAAUCAGGGACCUGGUACUAGAAGACUGGGGUAGGGAGAGGGAGGGGAUGGUGGCCAGAGUAGGCAUGGGAUUGAAUCAGAAGGGCCUCCCAAAGAGCGCUGCGGUAUCAGGUCAAACAGGAAAGCCAUAAUGGGAUCUUGCGGAAAUGUUUUCCAUCCUUAAUGACUCGUAGGGGAUCCGCCAGUGAAGAUGGAUGACGGCCUCCGUGCUGGAGCCAGCAGGGAGCUUGGUGGACUGCUGAAAUCAGGAGCGGGGAGGGGGCACGGUGGGGGUGGGGGACUCAGGGCAGCCCUGUUGACCAAUUAGUACCGCAGUUUAUUGCCUCGACAGGGUUAUGGUCGUAGGGAGGCAACUAGGAAAAUAUCCAAUUCCCAGACGUCAGACACAGCGUCCCCAUUCACCCCUCACAAAGCGCUCAGUCCACCCUGAGAGAAAGCCCUCGACUGCUGCAGCCCUAAGCAGAACACGAAAAUCUUUUAGCCAAAAGAGGCAGAGCAGAUGGGACCUGCCAGAGGGUCUGGAGGACCCUGAGCCCCAGUACCUAUGCAUCAAGUGACUUAGGCCAGUGACAGGCGCGGCGCUACCUGAAUACCUGGUGAACAAGAUGGCCAAGGCUCCUGCCUUCACAGAGCACAGAGCCUAGUGGGAGAGAAAAGUGAUCAGCAAAUAAGCUGAUCACUGCAUCUGUCAGAAGGAGGCCAGAUUGAAAGAACUCUCAAUGUUCAGCAUGUAUCAACUCUUCAAUCUCUACAACCCUUUGAGGCAGAUACGAUUCCUAAAUCCGUUUUACAGAUCGGCAAACUGAAGAGCUGAGGAACAGAGAGGCUAAAGAACCAUGUCCCAGAACCAGCAGAAGCAGGAUCUGAAUUCACAUGGCUCCAGAGCCCACACGCUCACCUCAGCCCUGCUGCCUCAAGAUAACAUUGGCUCUGCACCCCCUGCUUAUCAGAGUGAGACAAUGUCAAUAAAGCACCUAUCACAGUUCUAGGCUCAGAAUAGUUCUCAGGAAGGAGUAUGAAGCGAGAAAAAUCGGGCUCCACUUAUCAGCUGUGUGACUCAGGUAAGUUUCUUGGCCUCUCUGAACCUCAUUUUCCCUCCUCUGAAAAAUGGAGGUAACGAUAAUCCUUGUUGUGGUGACAUGAACAUUAAGUGACACAAUGAUGUAAAGGACACAUUCACUAAAACUCCGCUUUUCACCACCCUUUUCCCAGGCAGAGGUGGGAAUGUGUGCCAAGGUCACGGGGAUGCUAUGAUUCCCCGUUUCAGGCCACUGGGCUGGCUGAGCACCAGGUUUCCACUGGGGGACUGUCUCCAUCUGUCUGAAUUUGGGCUGAGCAUAACCGUGCUGGGACUUCCCCGGUUGCUGGUAGACUUUCCAGAGUGAGCUCAGGGGACUUUCCUCUCCCAAGCUGGAUAAAUGUCCAGAGUGGAAAAUUAGGGAGGUCUGUCCCUUGAGGCUCCAUUGAUGGUGUCUAGGCUGCUGAUAAGGGGAAAAUCGGAAAAAACAGGAAUAGUGGGCUUUUCCCAUUUUUGGUCCUGGGAAGCUGGGGUUGCAAUAGGAUCCUGAAAUGGCUUCAUCCAGGCCAGGAAUCCGGCACCUGAAAGGUGUCGGGGAGGACAGCUGACCAUCGACCUUCAA